AUUGAACGCUAGCGGGAUGCCUUACACAUGCAAGUCGAACGGAGUGGCGAACGGGUGAGUAAUGUAUCGGAACGUGCCCAGUAUCGGGGGAUAACUACGCUAAAGCGUAGCUAAUCCCGCAUACUAUUUGCUCGGCCUUUACCCGAUUAGCUAGUGGGUGGGGUAAGGGCUGACCAAGGCGACGAUCCGUAGCUGGUUUGAGAGGACGACCAGCCACACUGGAACUGAGACACGGCCCAGACUCCUACGGGAGGCAGCAGUGGGGAAUUUUGGACAAUGGGGGAAAGCCUGAACCAGCAAUCCCGCGUGUGCGAUGAAGGCCUUCGGAUUGUAAAGCACUUUUGGCAGGGAAGCGGUACCUAAAGAAUAAGCACCGGCUAACUACGUGCCAGCAGCCGCGGUAAUUC
rnacentral:rRNA from 1 species